GUGAAUAACAAAGGGACUCAGCCACACACACGCACGUGUCCAUUAUCCUCCCAUCCAGGCUGGCACACAACACUGAGUAGAGUUCCCUGGGCUAUACAGUGGGUCCCUGUUGGUUAUCCAUUUUGAAUAUAGUGUGUACAGAUGGCCAGCAUUUUAAUACCUUGUCACUUCGUUUCUUUUACCUGCAAGCUGUGGACACCAUACAUUUGAUGAAAUAAGGUCACUGAAGUCUUUAGCAAAGCAUCAACCAAUUUUUGUCUGAAGCCGACAGAUCCUGCCACCUUGUUUCCAAUGGUCCAAUGGAAGAGAAGGGACUCAGUCACAGACUGACUAAAUCUUAGAGUGAGUUCCUGAAAGAUGUGCAGACAAACCAUGUCGAUGUCUGUUGUUCACGAAAUGGACCACAUUUGCUGCCAGAGCUCAUAACUCAGCCCGGAGUGAAACGCAGCUGCUCUGUGAUGACCUAGAAAUUCCAGGUCCAGUGUGAUGGA
rnacentral:lncRNA from 1 species